rnacentral:rRNA from 1 species
UGGGGAAUUUUGGACAAUGGGCGAAAGCCUGAUCCAGCAAUGCCGCGUGUGUGAAGAAGGCCUUCGGGUUGUAAAGCACUUUUGUCCGGAAAGAAAUCCUCUGGGUUAAUACCUCGGGGGAGUGACGGUACCGGAAGAAUAAGCACCGGCUAACUACGUGCCAGCAGCCGCGGUAAUACGUAGGGUGCAAGCGUUAAUCGGAAUUACUGGGCGUAAAGCGUGCGCAGGCGGUUUUGUAAGACGGAUGUGAAAUCCCCGGGCUUAACCUGGGAACUGCAUUCGUGACUGCAAGGCUAGAGUAUGGCAGAGGGGGGUAGAAUUCCACGUGUAGCAGUGAAAUGCGUAGAGAUGUGGAGGAAUACCGAUGGCGAAGGCAGCCCCCUGGGCCAAUACUGACGCUCAUGCACGAAAGCGUGGGGAGCAAACAGGAUUAGAUACCCUGGUAGUCCACGCCCUAAACGAUGUCAACUAGUUGUUGGGGAUUCAUUUCCUUAGUAACGUAGCUAACGCGUGAAGUUGACCGCCUGGGGAGUACGGUCGCAAGAUU